UACGUAGGGUGCAAGCGUUGUCCGGAAUUAUUGGGCGUAAAGAGCUCGUAGGUGGCCUGUCGCGUCGGCUGUGAAAACUCGGGGGCUCAACUCCGAGCUUGCAGUCGAUACGGGCAGGCUAGAGUUCGGCAGGGGGAGACUGGAAUUCCUGGUGUAGCGGUGAAAUGCGCAGAUAUCAGGAGGAACACCGGUGGCGAAGGCGGGUCUCUGGGGCCGAUACUGACACUGGAGGAGCGAAAAGCGUGGGGGAGCGAACAGG
rnacentral:rRNA from 1 species